AGUCGAGGAUCUUCGGCAAUGGGCGCAAGCCUGACCGAGCGAGGCCGCGUGGGCGAUGAAGGCCUUCGGGUUGUAAAGCCCUGUCGAGGGGGAGAAAAGCCGAAAGGUGUGAUCUAUCCCUGGAGGAAGCACGGGCUAAGUUCGUGCCAGCAGCCGCGGUAAGACGAACCGUGCGAACGUUGUUCGGAAUCACUGGGCUUAAAGGGCGCGUAGGCGGGCUAUCAAGUCCGGGGUGAAAUCCUCCAGCUCAACUGGAGAACGGCCUCGGAUACUGAUGGUCUCGAGGAGGAUAGGGGCACACGGAACUGUGGGUGGAGCGGUGAAAUGCGUUGAUAUCCAUAGGAACUCCGGUGGCGAAAGCGGUGUGCUGGAUCCUUUCUGACGCUGAGGCGCGAAAGCCAGGGGAGCAAA
rnacentral:rRNA from 1 species